rnacentral:rRNA from 1 species
GACGAACGCUGGCGGCGUGCUUAACACAUGCAAGUCGAACGGAAAGGCCCUGCUUUUGUGGGGUGCUCGAGUGGCGAACGGGUGAGUAACACGUGAGUAACCUGCCCUUGACUUUGGGAUAACUUCAGGAAACUGGGGCUAAUACCGGAUAGGAGCUCCUGCUGCAUGGUGGGGGUUGGAAAGUUUCGGCGGUUGGGGAUGGACUCGCGGCUUAUCAGCUUGUUGGUGGGGUAGUGGCUUACCAAGGCUUUGACGGGUAGCCGGCCUGAGAGGGUGACCGGCCACAUUGGGACUGAGAUACGGCCCAGACUCCUACGGGAGGCAGCAGUGGGAAAUAUUGCACAAUGGGCGGAAGCCUGAUGCAGCAACGCCGCGUGCGGGAUAACGGCCUUCGGGUUGUAAACCGCUUUCGCCUGUGACGAAGCGUGAGUGACGGUAAUGGGUAAAGAAGCACCGGCUAACUACGUG